GAGGAUACUAAGUGAGCUUUGUGCUGACAUCAGCAAGCCCGGCGCGGGGCUCAAACUCACGAACUGCAACAUCACGACCUGAGCCGAAGUCAGGCACCCCCUGACUUGCCUUUUAGAAGCAGACUCUGCUGUGUGGAGGACAGAAUGCAAAGGGACAAAGGCAGAAGGAGGGAUCCGGGGAGUGAGGUCACCUCGGUGAUGGCGGGCGAGGAUGGUGGGUGAGGAGGUGGGUUUGGGGCCAGGGAGGCAGAGGAGAGACGGCGACGCUCUGGAUCCACCAUGGAGGUAGAGCCAGUAGGACGUGCUGGCCAACUGGAUGUAGGGUAUGAGGGAAAAGAGGAGCCGGGAGUGAGGCCAGUUGCUGGGGCCUGAGCAGCUAUCGGACGGAGGCUCCGUCUUCUGAGUCAGAGAAGACCAGGGGAGGAGCAGGUUCGGACGACUCGGGGUUUGGUUUGGGGUCUGCUAAUUUUGAGGCACCUGCUAGACAAGCAGAUGGAGAUGUCAGGACACAACCGAACACAACCGUCUGGGACUCAGAAGGGAAGUCCAGGGCCGAGGCAGACCUCUGGGAGGUGGCUUUGACGACGAGGGAGGAGGGAGAAGGGACAGGUCUGAGGAAGGAGCCCCACAGGCCUCGGUGCUUAGGGGUCAGGGACACAAGGAGGAGCCAGCCGGGCGGCUGUAAAGGAGUGGCCAGGCAGGCAGGAGGCAGAGAGAGGGUGGCCUGAAAUUCUCACAGGCAUUUUUUUCAAGAAGAAGAAAUUACCAACUUAGUCAAAAGCUGCUGAAAAUUAGAGACCCUCGCAGGAGAAGACAGAUGAGGUGUGCGUGGGACCUGAAAGCAGAGGGAACGUGACACAAGAUCAUUUACCUCCCUCUCCUGAGGUGCUAACUCAGAAUGGGUCUCUUUGGAAAUGGAAUGGCCAGAGUUGUUGAAUCUCUCUGAUGGGCUCCCAGCCCCAGGCCCAUAACCUGGGGAAGAAAGCCCCAAUAGAAGCCGACUUCAGCACUAGCUCCUGGAAUGCCUUUGAACCCCUCAACGAAAAGCGGGAGCUCGGAAGCAGAUACUGCCCGGCCUUCCAACUCAAACCCAUGUCAACAUCACAAACAUCGACCGGGCCUGGCCCUGUGCUGAGCACUUAGAACCCAGGUGUGCCCAAGUUCAUCCUUGCCCUCCAGCCAGACAUGAAAGAUGGGCUGAAAGUCUGCUCCUAGGGUGCAGCAGAAUGAACUUAGUACUUCCUAAGAGUCUGGAGCAUAAUGCAACGUGAGCGCCAAGGAGGGGAUGGCGGAUUCUGGAACAUCUGCUCCUGCCAUGCCUACAAGGAUAAGAUUUCAAGAGGCGGGAUCCAGGGAUAAAGGCGUUCCAGGCGGUGGAAGCAGCAUGAGCAAAGGCCCGGGACUGGAGUGUACCCUACACUGGGACACUCACAGAAGCUUGCGCCCCUUGGCUCAAACACUCAGAAUCCAAGACCCCCAGGUUGCUGAGUCACAGACUGAUGAGACCCCAGAAUGCAAGAUUUGUGGCUCUUUGAGCAAGCCAGAGAUGCACCUGGUCAGGUCUCCCCUCCAGGGCAGGAGAUCCUGGCACUAGUCACCAACUGGUGGCAUCUUGUGAGAUGGGAGGCCCAUGGAUGUGGGUGAGGAUCCAUCUUGCAGGGUACUUGCUCAGCCUCUCUGUCCCCAUCCGUCAAUCUCCAGGCACUGACCAGGUGCACAUUGUGACCAGCUUUGCCCACCGUGUUCCGAUGCCUGUGAGGAAGGCUCCCCUUCCCAUCAAGAUGGAGUUGUCAUUGUGGGUGAGGGAAAGUGCCCUGUCCGUUAGCGUGCUAGUGACUGAUAACAGUCUGGCAUCAUGGUUAGGAUUUUGGUCUCUGGUCUAAACUUCCCUUCGCAUAUUUUACUUUCCUAAGCCUCAACUUCCUCUUCUUUAAUAUUAGGAUAACAACAACAGUGAGCAAUUAUUUUGUUCUCACUAAGUGUCUGGCACUGGGUUAAAUGCUCCUUAGGCAUGACCUCUGCUAAAUGAUCUAUAAUACAGGCACCGUUAUUCUCCUUUUUCAUACUGGGAGGCUGAGGCACAGAGAGGUAAUGUAAUUUGCCCACGGUCACCCAGCUAGUAAAUGGUGGAGUUUGAACACGGACCAAAGAAGUCUGACUCCAGCACCUGCUAACGGCAAGGAGAAUAAUUAACAAUACUAAUAGUAAUAAAGUACUAUCCUUUCCCAGGA